rnacentral:rRNA from 1 species
GUAGGGAAUCUUGCGCAAUGGGCGAAAGCCUGACGCAGCCAUGCCGCGUGAAUGAUGAAGGUCUUAGGAUUGUAAAAUUCUUUCACCGGGGACGAUAAUGACGGUACCCGGAGAAGAAGCCCCGGCUAACUUCGUGCCAGCAGCCGCGGUAAUACGAAGGGGGCUAGCGUUGCUCGGAAUUACUGGGCGUAAAGGGAGCGUAGGCGGAUAGUUUAGUCAGAGGUGAAAGCCCAGGGCUCAACCUUGGAAUUGCCUUUGAUACUGGCUAUCUUGAGUAUGGAAGAGGUAUGUGGAACUCCGAGUGUAGAGGUGAAAUUCGUAGAUAUUCGGAGGAACACCAGUGGCGAAGGCGACAUACUGGUCCAUUACUGACGCUGAGGCUCAAAAGCGUGGGGAGCAAACAGGAUUAGAUACCCGGGUAGUCC